UACCGAGGCUAGAAAGAAUAAAAGUGGGAGAUGAUGAAGGGCAUUGGCAGGAUGAUCUGAAUACCACCAUCCAUAAUUUGUUUAUAAAUGCACAUGGUAAUGUUGAGGCUGAGAUUGUGGAAUUGGGAGUUGGUUCAGCAUUAUGAUUAUAUCAUGUUUUGUUCUUGGGAAUGUUACUCUUUGGCUGGAUUGAUUCCAUGUUAAUGCAAUAUGUAUCACUCUAUUUCAAUCUAUUUGGUUAUAUUUUAGGUUUAUAUAGAUUUGUUGGAUUGUAUGAUGUUUUCCACAUUGUUCAUAAUUAUUGAAAUUUCUUCAUAAUUAUAGAUGGUCACUAUUUGAGUCGCAUAAUGAAUCUCCACUUGAAUCA